rnacentral:precursor_RNA from 12 species
AGAGGCCGGCCAGGCGGAGCGUGGAGGGCCUGGAAGGCCUGGCUUUGCAGCGUGUUCUGGACUCUGCAGACCCGGCCUUGGCAAGCUCUUCCGCUGACGUCCCCGCGGCCGGAG